ensembl:lncRNA
AUGUUUAUCAGGACGGUCUGGAUCUCUUGUCGUCCUGAUCCGCCCACCUCAGCCUCCCAAAGUGCUGGGAUAACAGGCAUGAGCCACCACACCCAGCCCCUUGAACCUAUCUUUUUCUUUUUUUUUAAUUUGAGACAGACUCUCACAGAUCUGGGUCAUGUGACAAGCAGCCUAGAAAAUAGAAAAAUAAAAACAAAGACAGCAGUGAAAUUUAAAAAUAUAACCUUUAAUCAAUCACGUUAGGUGACACAAGACAUGUCAUUGUGGGCAGCAUGCUAAUGCCACUGUUAGGGAGACAAGGAGAGGAGCAGAAGACUUAAAUGACUACACUUUUACAUUUUUGAUCUGUCUGAAAUCAACGCUAUAUUUUUGUGUACUUCUAUCUCAACAUCUCUACCGAUAUCAGUUGGUGAAGGUAAUGAGAAACAACAGGUCACAGAUUGCAAAGAAAAACUGCAGCAUAAAACACUAUGUUUGGCCAUUUUGCCUCGUGCUUAUUCCAAAUAUUUUAGGAAUGAUUGCCUGACCCAGUAUAGUAUAGCUUUGUUACUGAAUACCAAAGGGUAGAACUGUCCGCUCUGGUAAUGACAUCAGUUCUUAGAUUUGGCAAUUCGAAUGCUCAUUCUCUACUAUAGAGUACUGUAAACAAAGUAAGCACAUCGCACAUACCUGACCAAAAUUCACUCCUGGACUUACACCUAGGAAACAAUGAAUUACUUAGGUUUAUGAUCUAAUGCCCUUAGCUAUUCAAAUCACAAUAAUUGCAGCAAGGACUCUAUUCAUCACAACUGACAGAAGAAAACUCAAACUGACUUAGAGCAUUUAUUGUCUUAUGUUUCUGAAAACUUUAGAUAUCUGCAGCCAUAGGCCACAUCCAAGUCACCAAAUGAUGUCAUCUCAAAUCCCUUUUUAAAUCUUUUGGUUCUGUUUUUCUGUGUUUCCCUCUUUAUCACACUGGUUCCUCCCAUGCACUGGCAAAAAUAGUGACUAGCAGAUCCAGGCUCACUUCCUAGCAACUCAGCAACCCCAGCCAAAGAGACCUUUUCUUUCCAAAAAUUCCAGCAAAAUGUAUCAGAUCACAUUCAUUAGACAGAUUUAUUUGUCCAUCUUGAACUAAUCAUCAUGGUCAAGGGAUGAACGCGCUGAUUAGUUGGGCCUGUGUCAUAUUCCCACAAUCUCAAUAUCUUGGAGGCGUUGGAGGGGCUGGGGAAGGAUGAAUGUUUGGACUAGGUCAAACUCACACAAACAACAGGUUGAGAGCCUGGUUUGCCAAUGGAAAAUGACUACCACGAGAAUCUAACCUUACUAUCCCUAGUGUGCCUCAUCCUCUUUAUUUUCAAGAUGUCUUUGGAGAGCUUUCCUUAAAAGAACCAUAUUUGAUUAGUUAAAUAAGAACUCCCAAAAUGUUCCAGAGCUUCAUUGUACAAAUAACUGAUUUACAAAUUUCUGUAAAUUGCACAUACACAAAUCAGUACUGUUUGCAUGAAAUCCCAUCAAUUAAGGAUUAGUCUCUACUGUUCAUAUAUUUUACAUCCUUGUGAAGAAAACUUAGCAAGCCACACAGCUGUGUGUAACCAGACCAAGUGUUCUAGUGAAUGAGUGCAAUCUAGUUAUUGUUCCUUUCACAUACAUAAUAGAUUCCUUUACUCAUCUUAGCUGAGUGAAAAAUAAGAGGCUGUGUUAAUCUGGAUCCAAUCAAGAGAGAGCAACCAUGCAGUAAGUUGAAUAGGGAAGGUUUAAAAUAAAGAAUUAUUAACUAGAAAGGGGAUUAGAAUACAAGGGGCUGGGCAAUAAGAAUUUGAAAGAAUAUAUGAAUAACAGUGUAAGGGGAGACACAGCCUUUGGUUUGAGAGAGCUCAGGUUGGAGUGUGGGCUAGAUCCAGACUUAGUUGGGAAGGAUCACUUCCCUGGCUCACUGGCUCACUGAGGAGUUGCUGUGAUGGGGAAAAAAAAGUUUAGGUUGAAAUUUCAAAGUUUUCACAGAAUAGCAGGAAAGAAUGCUUCUGUGUAUUUAGUGAUAAACACAAAGUAGAUUUUUCCUAAGAGGAUACAACAGCCUAACUCAUUUGCUUUUAU